rnacentral:rRNA from 1 species
AGUGAACGCUGGCGGUAGGCCUAACACAUGCAAGUCGAACGGCAGCACAGUAAGAUCUUGCUCUUACGGGUUGCGAGUGUCGUACGGGUGAGGUAUACAUCGGAAUCUACUUUUUCUUGUGUGUUAACGUAGGUAAACUUACGCUAAUACCGCAUACUACCUACUGUUGAAAUCAUUGGAUCUUCUGACCUUGCGCGUUUUAAUUAGCCGAUGUCGUAUUAGCUAGUUGGCGGGGUAAAGGCCCACCAAGGCGACGAUCCGUAGAUGGUCUGAGAGGAUGAUCAGAGAAACUGGAAGUGAGAGAGGGAAAAGAGAAAUACGGGAGGAAGCAGUGGGGAAUAUUGGAAAAUGGGGGAAAGCAUGAUACAGCAAUACCGAGUGGGUGAAGAAGGAGUUAGGGUUGUAAAGAAAGUUUGUUGGGAAAGAAAAGAAGCAGGUUAAAAAAAAGAUGUAAUGACGGUAACAAAAGAAUAAGCACCGGCUAACUACGUG